CAGGUUGAAGGGUGGGUAACACUAACUGGAGGACCGAACCGACUAAUGUUGAAAAAUUAGCGGAUGACCUGUGGCUGGGGGUGAAAGGCCAAUCAAACCGGGAGAUAGCUGGUUCUCCCCGAAAGCUAUUUAGGUAGCGCCUCGUGAAUUCAUCUCCGGGGGUAGAGCACUGUUUCGGCUAGGGGGCCAUCCCGGCUUACCAACCCGAUGCAAACUGCGAAUACCGGAGAAUGUUAUCACGGGAGACACACGGCGGGUGCUAACGUCCGUCGUGAAGAGGGAAACAACCCAGACCGCCAGCUAAGGUCCCAAAGUCAUGGUUAAGUGGGAAACGAUGUGGGAAGGCCCAGACAGCCAGGAUGUUGGCUUAGAAGCAGCCAUCAUUUAAAGAAAGCGUAAUAGCUCACUGGUCGAGUCGGCCUGCGCGGAAGAUGUAACGGGGCUAAACCAUGCACCGAAGCUGCGGCAGCGACACUGUGUGUUGUUGGGUAGGGGAGCGUUCUGUAAGCCUGUGAAGGUGUGUCGUGAGGCAUGCUGGAGGUAUCAGAAGUGCGAAUGCUGACAUAAGUAACGAUAAAGCGGGUGAAAAGCCCGCUCGCCGGAAGACCAAGGGUUCCUGUCCAACGUUAAUCGGGGCAGGGUGAGUCGACCCCUAAGGCGAGGCCGAAAGGCGUAGUCGAUGGGAAACGGGUUAAUAUUCCCGUACUUGGUGUUACUGCGAAGGGGGGACGGAGAAGGCUAUGUUGGCCGGG
rnacentral:rRNA from 1 species